rnacentral:rRNA from 1 species
GAUGAACGCUGGCGGCGUGCCUAACACAUGCAAGUCGAGCGAACAGACAAGGAGCUUGCUCUCUUGCCGUUUGCGGCGGACGGGUGAGUAACACGUGGAUAACCUACCUCUUUGACUGGGAUAACAUCGGGAAACCGGAGCUAAUACCGCCUAAUAUAUCGAACCGCAUAAUUCAAGAGUGAUUGACGGUUUUCCCGACACUUAUAGAUGGAUUCGGGCGGAAUUGUCUAGUUGGUAAGGUAACGGCUUACCAAGGCAACGAUGCGUAGCCGACCUGAUAGGGUGAUCGGCCACACUGAAACUGAGACACGGCCCAAACUCCUAGGGGAGGAGGCGGGGGGAAAUCUGGCGAAAGGGGCGAAAGCCUGGCGAGGCAACGCCGCGUGGGUGAUGAGGGUCUUCGGUUCGAAAGACUCUGUUAUUGGAGAAAAACAAAUGUGUAAAUAACUAUGCAGGUCUGAAGGUAACCUAAUCAGAAGGCCCGGCUUAACUAGUG